UACGUAGGGGGCAAGCGUUGUCCGGAUUUAUUGGGCGUAAAGAGCGUGUAGGCGGCCAUACAGGUCAGCUGUGAAACUCGAGGCUCAACCUCGAGACGUCGGUUGAAACCGUAUGGCUAGAGUCCGGAAGAGGAGAGUGGAAUUCCCGGGUGUAGCGGGUGAAAAUGCGCAGAUAUCGGGAAAGAACACCCGUGGCGAAGGCGGCUCUCUGGGACGGUACUGACGCUGAGACGCGGAAAAGCGUGGGGAGCGAACGAGG
rnacentral:rRNA from 1 species